GCCGCGCGAGCUGCUGUUUUGGUUCCUGGUCCUGAGGGAUUCCACAGGGCGCGAGCCGCGGUCCCGCCUCCCCCCUUUUCUGCUGCUGCUGCAGAGCGGCGCCGCCCCCUGCCCCGCCGCAGCCGGAGCCCGGCGGCGCUGCCCAUGGCCGCUGAGAUCCAGCCCAAGGCGCUGACCCGCAAGCCCGUCCUGCUCAGCAAGGUGGAGGGAUCCCAGGAUGUAGUGAGCAUGGCCGCGAUCGUGCCCAAGGAGGACGGGGUCAUCAGCGUCUCCGAGGACAGAACUGUCCGUGUGUGGCUGAAGAGAGAGAGUGGGCAGUAUUGGCCUAGCAUAUACCAUGCAAUGCCAUCUCCAUGUUCAUGCAUGUCUUUUAACCCGGAAACAAGAAGGCUGUCCGUAGGUCUAGACAAUGGUUCAAUCUCAGAGUUUAUUUUAUCAGAAGAUUACAACAAGAUGACACCAGUCAAAAGUUACCAGGCUCACCAAGGCAGGGUUAUGAUGAUUCUGUUUGUCCUGGAGAUGGAAUGGGUGUUAAGCACAGGACAGGACAAGCAAUUCACCUGGCAUUGCUCGGAGAGUGGGCAGCGGCUCGGAGGGUAUCGCACCAGUGCGGGGGCCUGCGGCCUGCAAUUUGAUGUUGAGACCCGACAUGUGUUUAUAGGUGAUCAUUCUGGGCAGGUAACCAUUCUCAAACUAGAGCAAGAGAACUGCAGCCUUGUCACAACAUUUAAGGGACAUACAGGUGGUGUCACUGCUCUUUGUUGGGACCCAGUGCAGCGAGUUUUGUUCUCAGGCAGUUCAGAUCAUUCCAUUAUUAUGUGGGACAUAGGAGGAAGAAAAGGAACAGCCAUUGAAUUACAAGGACACAACGAUAAAGUUCAGUGUCUCUCCUAUGCUCCCCACACAAGACAGCUCAUCUCUUGUGGUGCAGAUGGUGGAAUUGUUAUCUGGAAUAUGGAUGUUGAGAGACAGGAGACACCGGAGUGGUUGGACAGUGACUCCUGUCAAAAGUGUGACCAGCCUUUCUUCUGGAAUUUUAAACAGAUGUGGGACAGUAAGAAAAUAGGCCUUAGACAGCAUCACUGCCGGAAGUGUGGGAAAGCAGUGUGUGGCAAAUGCAGCUCUAAGCGCUCCUCCAUACCUCUGAUGGGAUUUGAGUUUGAAGUGAGAGUCUGCGAUAGCUGUCACGAAUCGAUAACGGAUGAGGAACGUGCACCCACAGCCACUUUCCAUGACAGUAAGCACAACAUUGUCCAUGUACACUUUGACGCAACCAGGGGAUGGUUAUUGACUUCUGGGACAGACAAGAUUAUUAAGUUGUGGGAUAUGACACCAGUAGUGUCUUGAUGAUACGUCAGUGGAACUUAAAAGGUGGUAUUUACUGAAGAAACAGAUUUCCUAACCCUAAUCGUAUUGCAGAAGAUAAAAUGCUGUGUGUAUAUGGCAGAUAAGGAAGGAGCUAACACAUCUGUGACGAUUUUUCAAGUCAUCGGCUAGAUCAAUGGUGAACAUUUGCACGAAGACUCUAUUUCAACUUUGUUCUCAAAAUAUCCGAGAAGGCAUCUCUGAAUUUCUCCAUUCCAUUUAUUUGUGUUCAGUGAGACUGAAAUCUUUUCCUGUUGGGGACAGAACUCAGAGAACCAUUGGCAAAAUAAUUCAAAAGAAAACAGUGCUGAAAGAGAGAAUGUUUUCAGACCGAACUAAGAGUGGAGAUGCAUAAUAGUCAAUGGGAUACAAAGUUGAACCCAGUUCUGCUGUUUUAGCCUUCUUUAUUAAUCACAGCAUGCCCAGAGGUCCCUGUCAGGAUCGGGAUUCCAUGGUAAGGACAGUCCUGGUUGUUAGUGCUAGCCUGGGACUCUGGAAACCUAGAGUUCAAUUCCCUGCUUUUCCAGAGACUUCCUGUAUGACUUUGUGCAACUCACUUAAUCCCUCUGUGCCGAAGUUCCCCAUCUGUAUAAAGGGGGCGAUAGCACUUCCCUACUGCAUGGAGAGAAUACAUUACACUGAGACACUCUAAUACUACAGUAAUGGGAGCCGGAUAACUAAUAUUUUGUGAACAGUCAGGAUUUCCUUGAGCAGAUCUGAAAUGCCACUUGCCAUUUCUCUAAGAAGACAAAUAGCACUUCUGUGUCCCUCUACCAAGAAAUUGUCACUGGUUAUUACUUGGGAUUGUGGUUCUCAGUCAGUGGAGUAUUGGUGAACAUGGAAAAAUUGAGCUAAAUAAAUGUAGAUAAACAGGGAUGAAGUGGACCCCUGGUGUUUUAGGGCAGAGUAAAACAAAUAGUUUGUCUUUAACACUGUGAAUCUGGUCACUUACAGCACGUUUGUAAAACUCAUUCCCUCCAGUUUGGGCUUUGGUAAAUGUUCAAUACAAAAAUAAUAUUGCAUCAGAGAGAAAGAUGUAGUCCUGAUGCUUCCUUAAGACUAGGACAAAAGCAUACAAGCCACAUGGUGGUGAUUUGCACUUACCAGGCAUCCAUGUGGUAAUAUUUCUGCCUUAGAAAAGUUGAUUUUUAUUGACCAGCUAAUGGUAUGAUUCGUUUUUCCAAAGGAUGAGCAUUAUUUUUCACUUUCCCUUUAUCAGGCUGUUUUCUGUGUUCAUUAUAUUGACCAAAUAAAGCUCUUGCUAACCUCAGAUUGGUAUAGAUUUAGUUUUAAAAACAGGAAAAAAACUUACUGAUUUCUGUUCCAGUCAAUUUUCCUCUUAACAAUUCUACUUGGAUCAUUUAUGCCCACAAGAAUUAUAAACUGCCAACUACCACUUUGUGGUUUCUAUAUGUAAAUGCAUGUCUCCAAGAUACUUUAAUAUGUUCUUCAGCACGAGUUUAACAGUUUACUAAAUUUAUUUCCAUCAAAAUCUGUCUUUAACCUCUCCAUCCUCUUGUUUUGUUUAAUUUUUAAUAGGGAAAUUUGGAUAUACAGUCUCAUCUGAUAUAAAUCUACCUGUUCUUUCUAUGCUGAAAUAAAACUGACUUCUAAACAAUGAGUGAACAAGGUCAUUCUUUAAUGAGAUGGGUUUUCACUUAUCACACUUGGAAGGGCCUGAGCAGCCAAUGAGUAGGAUGUGUGGGCUGCCAGAUUCUUGGCAUCAUUUUGAUUGGCAGCAUAACUUCUCAGCUCCCACUAAGGCUUCAGAACUUUUCCUGAGUUAACUUCUUGGCUUUACUUAUUAAUGAGUUAAUAGCAGACAAAUUGGCAGAAGCAAGAAAAAUCCAACUUUUCGGAAAGCUCCCUUUGUGGUGAUGCCCAGGCACACAGGCUCUGCAGGUCUCCCUUUGUUUUAUCAGCCAGUCUGCACCAUUUGAUUAAGCAGCUGAGUGGCAUAUUGGUGUGGCUGAGGGGUCUAUGACCAGGUUAGCCACACCCGCCCAUUAUCUAGGGCCUGGUCUACACUACAAACUUAGGUCAAUGGAAGCCACUUUGUCUCCCAAAUAAUGUAUGCCUCUACACUACCAGGUCCCUUCUGCUGACCUAACUCGUCUGUAACGUCAAGUUAAUGACUCCACCUCCACGAGAGGCGUAGCACUUACGUCAGUGUUGAUGGGUAGACAGAGAGGCAGGGUUGACACAGCAUUGUGUAGGUCGACUAAAUUGGCCUCCAGGAGGUGUCCCACAAUGCUCCUUUGUGACCGCUCUGGAGAUUUUCAACUCCAUUGCACAGCAGACAGCUACACAGGGAACAGCUCCUCCCCUUUUAAAGCUCCAGGAACUUUUGAAUUCCAAUUUCCUGUUGGAUCAGCAUGGAGAGCUCACCAGCCCAGCUGAUCAUGGUGACUCAACGCCCCACAUGUGCUCCAGCCUGGAGUACACAGUAGGUGGUAGAACUUAUUGGUCUGUGGGGAGAAGAGUCUGUGCAGGCACAGCUCUGAUCCAGCAGAGAGAGACAUCUACGAGAUGGAGGAGAAGGGCUACAGCAGGGAUACACAGCAUUGCCAUGCGAAAGUCAAAGAACUUCGGCUGACGUACCAGAAGACAAACGAGAUGAACAGUUGUUCUGGUUCUGCAGCACAAAUGAGCUGAAUGCAGAUCUUGGUGGUGACCCCACACUAACCCCAAAUGCAGCAUGGAUACCUCCCAGAAGUCUGAGUCCUGGGCCACCUCAGGCAACAAUGAAGAGGACAUUCUGGACAAGCAAGAGGAGGAGGAGGAGAAUGGGAGACAGGUGAGGGUGGAUCCAUUCUCCCAGAGAACCAGGAGGUAUUAUUGGUCGCAGGACAGCAUGGUGGCCAAGUCUGAUGCCAGGGAAGGCACCUCGGGUGAGUGCAAUUCCAAUCAAACUGUCAGGGUUACAUGCACUUAUAUUUUAUGUUUAAUCUGAAGAAAAAGUGAGGUUCAGUGGGUAUCUGCUUCCCAGUGGCCACUCCAGCUACGCAGACUGUGCGCCCCGGAAAAUGCUGUUUCUCAGUACAGCGUACGGCUUCAUGAGCAAGGGGUACGCUGGAUCUCCCAGGAUCACUGUUAGCGUUUCAACAUCAUCAGUGCUUACUUUGCAAUUUGGAAAGAGUCCUUGCUUGCAGCUUCCUGAACAAACCUGUGUUCCUGAAGAUGCGCACGUCAUGCAACGUUCCUGACCAUACCAUGUAAUGUCCGUCAAACUGUGAUCCACCAGCACUUGCAACACCAUUGAAAAAUAUCCCUUACGGUUUAUGUACUCUUUGGCUAGGUGGUCUGGUGCCAAGAUAGGGAUAUGUAUACCUUCCAUCACCCCACUGCAGCUCAGGAACUCCAUCGUGACAAAACCAUCCACUAUGUCCUGCACAUUGCCCAGAGUUACUGCCCUUCUUAGUAGAAUUCAAUUAAUGGCUCUGCACACUUGGAUCACAACAGCUCCCACAGUGGAUUUACCAACUCCAAAUUGAUUCCCCACUGACCGGUAACAGUUUGGCAUUGCAAGUUUCCACAGAGCUAUCGCCACUCGCUUCUCCACUGUCAGUGCAGGUCUCAUUUUAGUGUUGCUGCGCUUCAGGGCUGGGGAAAGCUCUGCACAAAGUUCCUAGAACGUGGCCUUUCACAUUCGAAAGUUGUGCAGCCACUGCUCAUCAUCCCAUAGCUGUGUAAUGAUGUGAUCCCACCAGUCAGUGCUUGUUUCCGAGGAGCAGAAACAGUGCUCCACCAUGUUCAACUGCUGCACAAUUGCCAGCAGCAACCGGGAAUUGUUCUAUGGCUUGCAGCAGGGUUGCUUGAAUGACAUCGCUGUAUUCCAUGUGGCAGCUCCUGUCUUGGUUCUGGAAAUACUGCAGGGUAAGGUGAGGUGUUUGUAAUGCUCACAACAAGAUUGUACAGCCGAGUGGGGUCCAUGGCUAAGCCAAGCUUUCGAAAAAAGGCUUGAGAAAGUAUGGGCUGUUUGCCAUUCGUAUCAGGGGAGAGAGAGAGGAAACUGCAUCAUGGAAGGCCAAAGCUAUGUUCCCAUUCCCCCUUGCAACAAUGUUUUGGUCCCAUAAGGCAUUGCAAGCCCUUCCUAAAAUCCUUUGUGGCUAGCUGCACUGUGGGAUAGCUAUCCACGCUGCACUGCUCUGUGCAUCGAUGUAAGCACUGCUAGUGAGCACGCACUCCACCAACACAAUGAGCGUGGUGUGGACAUGCACAACUGACUUAAUUACUGUGGCAGCUGGAUGUCGACUUGACUUGACUUAACUUUGUAGUGUAGACAUACCCUAGGAGUCCUUUGAGGCUGUUUCCUUUGGAGCGAGAGGGGCAUGUGUUUUUAGGUAAUCCUUAAAAUCAACCAGUAGUGUUUUGCCAGUCAAACUUCAUCCUCCCGGCCCAAAAGAAGAAAAACCAUGAAAAGACUUAAUUGUUCAAAGUUCCCUUCUUCACCUAGCUCUGCAAAAACUAGCAGCUGUGGAAACGUCGACUGGUUGGGGCUUAUCCUGUUAGAAACAGUGCCACCUUCUGGAUUGAGCUAUAACGUUGCCUGAUCAGCUGCUGUUUGUCUUCCAAUUUCUUUGACAUUGGGCCACUACUGCAGUCUUUGGCUCAUCUGUCCUUGCGUCUUUUUUUAAAGCCUGCCUUAUAUAUCCCAUCAGGUUAGAAGAUGGCACGUUCUCUCCCUGAACAAGGCUAUUUUUUACCUGUAAAUAUUAUCUGACACCCUGCCUUUAGGAAUUAGGUCUGUGAACCUGCAUGGGGGAUACAAAAUAUUGAUACUGCCCUACUCUAGAAAUAUUUCUUGGGUUUGGACACAUUUAUACUGGAGGUUCCAUUUUUGUUAUAUUUUACUUAGCUUUUUCUUGGUUUUCCUUCCUUUCAGGUACCUUCCCUCUCCACUUGUCUGCUUGAUUUAGUGCCAUAGUGGCUGCUGCCUGCAUACAAUGAUUUUAGACCCCUUUAUUCACAUCCCAGAAUUCUUUCCCCUAACCAGUCACUGAUGUCUGUCCAAGUGCAAAGUAAGUAAAAAUCCACAAAAGUAGGAUUAUAAAGUAGUGUUGGAUCAAACUGGUUGAAAAAUGGGAAAUACACCCAGAUUUAGAAGCCUCUCCCCCAUGUUCAUCCAAAUUCAAAAUCUUGCAAAAUUGACAUUGGGAAGACUUUGACAAGCUCUAGUUUUGGACUAAUUAAAGUGUGAUCUAAUUUAAUUGGGAAAAUAUGAUGGUGCUAUGUGUUAGAGAGAGUGAGUUCUAUCAGAGAGCUUCGCAGAAGGGAGAACAUACCGAGUAUGGGGAGUUGGAAGGGCAACUGAAGACUAUGGGUUUCUUUUACUAUGCUGAGGGUAUGGUGAAAGGUUGCCAGUCCUUAAUGAAGUCGGUGAGCAGUGAUUUUUCCUACAAGUAUCCCUUCGUAGCCACGAUUGCUUGGGUUAUUAAACAACAUUCACUUUCCACUUACUAAAUUAAACAUUGACUAACAUCUUGUACUGCCACAGAUGCUAUUGUAUUUUAAGUGACAUUUUUCCUAAAAUGUAAUCAGAUUGAGUUGAAAAUUGUAUUAAUUGGCCUAGAGGAGAAAUCUACACCCACGAUCUCAAGGUAGGAUUUUCAAAUGUAAUCGGUGUUUGCCUAACUCUGCUCCCACUGAAGGCAUUGGUAAGCACUUGUCAAAAUACCACCCUUAAUCUGAGUCACGUAGGGACAUAUUCCCUUGCAACCUUACUUGUACCAUGGUACAAUAGUAAUCCUGAGAAAUUCUCAUUUUAUACAUAGUAUAGAAAACUGGCAUUUCAGAAGCAGGCAAAUAACUGUAGAUGGUACCUUGCAUUUCCUUCAAGGAACUGUAAUGAAGGAUCUACACUGUAAAAUCAUUUCCAGUUCACUGGUACAUUCUACAAAAAUGUGUGGUCACUACAAAGUUACUGGAAGUGCCCUGCACCUGCUUUUGAGAUUAACAGCACCAAAUGUGAUAUGGUACCAUUGUUAUCGGCAGAGCCCUGGUGCUAGAAGGCAACCUACUUUGUUUACAAUUGUUGGUUACAGGUUUUGUAGUUAGUCUAACAUUUUUACAUGGAACAAGUUUGCCCCAGAUGCAGAAUUCAGGACAGGGACCCUGUCAACUUGACAAAUCACCUGACCAUUAUUACAUUAGCAUUCCUAUCAAAGAUUAAAAGUGUUCAAGUUUGCUUCCCGGGUAGAGCUCAAAACACUGAAUAAUCAGUUCAACUGUAGCAUUGAUGGUGCGUACCCAUCUUCAGAGCCUGCAAGGGGUGGUUAUCAUCUAAAUAGGAAUGUGUGUCUUGAAGGUGCAGGGGAGUAAGUCUAAGCGUGGUUAAUGGUGUUGCUCUCUGGCCUGUGCAAAAAAGCUAUUUACAUAAACAGGAGCACACAGCCCCUUAACUAUUGAUCUGGAGCUCUUAAGAGUAAGGAAAAAUAUAAGGACGUGAUGGGAUUUUUUUUUUAAAUAAGACAAUUAAAGGUAAGUUUGCAGUGUGUCUUGGAAGCUAGCAUCAAAGCUCUAGACUGAUUGUAGGAAAGGUGAGGUGAGGGAGAACAGCUGUGUUGGCAUUACAGACUCAAGCUGAAAGUUACAUAUCCUGGAAAAAUAACUUCCCCAGUUCACUAACUGUUUAUGUUGCCUUCUUGUGUCUGGCUGUUUAGUUUUUUAUAAGUAUUGAAAGUGCAUUGCUUAACAAGUGCUGGUCCUCUCUGUCUACAUUGGAUAUUCUGUCACUAGUGUCUCUUGCCACUAGAAUUUAAGAUGACAAUGAAUGUAUUUGCUUACAUGACAUGUAUAACCUAAUGUGCAUUAUAUUUUAAAAUAAAGCAUCUCACGUGUGUCCUGAUUAUAUACCUCAGUCAAACUUGUGGUGAGGAAAAUCAUGUUUUUAAAAGGGAGAAGAAUUGUGUUUAAAUGUUGAACUAAAUGAAGUAGAAUGCCAAUGUUAUGAAAAACUACAUAUUUGGUUUUGAAGUGCUGCCCUAGAUUUAAUUGUUGAUCACAAAUGCACUUCAACUACAAAAUAUGACAGCUGGCAUUUUCCUACACUGUGACUAAGUUUUACGCUUACAUGAUUUUGAUCCUUUCCACCUAUAGCCUAUGAAUGGAAAGAAAGUAAAGGAGUAUUUAAGUAUGGAAUAUGGACCAAAAGACAUAAGUGCACUUUUUUAGUUUUAUGCACUGUUUUAGGUAGCUUAUGUUAUACUGACUGCUACAGGGGUGCAAACUUACUUUAGCUAAAACACGAACAUUAAGUUAAUAAGCUUUGCAGCCUGCUAGAUUAGGAAAUGGAGCUACUGCAUAUGCUUUCUGUUUAAAUGCUUGUCCAAACAAUAUGCUUCAAUUUAUUAAAUUAUCUGGUAUGAGGAACUUUCCCUCCACUGUUAAAUAGAAGAACGGCCUCUGUUAGUGGUUAUUAACUAUGAAUUUUGGAAUCUCUAUUUUGAAACUCUUCAACCACAACAAAGCUGGCAGGUGUGAAGGGUAGUGUUCAGUCACUGCAGAUUGACUAAAAUAUAUUUAGUUCCCUAAGAACAUUGAUACCCACAUGCCAUUUGUCAGAAUAUUACAGAAGGGUGAGGGUUUGGUAUAUUUCUAUACUGGUAGUAGGAAAUUCCAGUUGCACAGGAAUUUGGCUUACUAAUAAGAUUAUUCAGUAAUGAAAAAGUAUUUAAAUUCUGUAAUUAAUGUACUAUUAAAAUGCUGCUGAAUGUGAUUGUUUACCUUUGUCUAGAAUUUUCCCUCCACAAUUUGCCCAUCUUUUCAGUAACACUUCAAAUAAAUUGUUAAUGUAAAAACCUAAAGCUUUGGGAAAUAAAUGACUAUGUAAAUCUUCCUGUU